CUCAGGGGUUUUAGCUCAGUUCUCCAGCCUGAUUAACCAAUAAUGUUUCUUUCAUGUCUGUUCGAGUAAUACUCUACUCCUUCCUGCAUCUGUGGGCUGCUGAGUGUGUUAGACUAAGCACAGAUGACACAAAUGCAACUUUUUGGACUUGAGUUUACACCUGCCAAGUUGGUGCACAAACACGGUGCUUGUAUGUGUACGCAAAAGUGUGUGUUGGUUUAUGCCCUGUAUGUAUGUAUGUGUUUUUGGCUGGCUGCGGGUUGGAUGCUCAGCCGUGAGUGGUCACUGAUUUCCUCCUCAGCUGGUUGUGCUCUACAGGUGGUGAUCCUGUAGCACAGAUGUUAAGGGUUCUAGAAUUACUGGAAGUAGGGAGGAGAAAGGCUUGUUUGGGUACCCACUACAAGAUUGGAGAAGGGCUACCUGUCUCUGAAGAAGAUCAUGUGCUGUACAACAGGCAUUGCCACCUCCUGGCUGAGUUCUUCAGGCAGAAGCACAGAGCAAAUAUCACCUGCCGUUCCCCUGCUAUUUCAGUAGGUGCACUCUGGAUUCCUGUUGGUAGCUUGCAGAGGUCAACUGCAUUACUUGCCUCAUCAGAUAACCAUGACAGAUGCUUUUGGGGGUAGAAAUGUGGAUGCAAGCUCCUGGUGAUGCUGAUUCUGCUCCCCUGUGUGAAAGGUGGGAGACCAAAGCAGCUCGGGGCAGCUACAAAGACUUAACUCCAAUAUGUAAUCACUUCUCGAAGUCUCCCUAAACGUUUUAUCAGAUUUAGUAGAUGGAGGAAAGUUAGUUACAGUAUUUGUUAAGCAUUAAAACUGUUUGGUUACCUUUCUCCUUUGUUGCUUUAUGAAGGAUGCUGUAGCACAGGAAGAAAAUCUUGCCUGCUCCUCCUUUGAUAAUAGGAGAGAUGGUAAUGAGCCAGAGAAAUGUAAGAGCCAGCUGAGGUGGCCUUAUAACUUCUUCUGUUGCUCUUCAAUGUGCUUAUGCAAUGAACAUAAUGAGAAAUCCCUCCAAAAGAGGGGAGGAAAAACGACUGGGGAAAUGAAAAUUUAGCAACUUUUCCUCCAGUCCUUCUUGCUCCCUCUAAUAUCAAGACAGUGAGGAUGUGUUACUUGCCCAGCUAUGCUGUGACUGAGCACUGUUGCUGUGAGACCUUGCUCCUGGCUGCCUUGCUGUUCGCAAAAGCUUUACCAAGUGCUGCCUUGGACAGCUGAGCCAGGUGCUUGCAGCCAGCACACAGGAUCCCUCCCAGGUACAGCAUUUGGGGAACAGCAGUGCGGUGUGUUUGUGGCUGGAAAGGCAGAUAGCAAGGGCCUAGGGGAAUCUGAAUUGUGUCUUGACUAAGUCUGGAACAAUUGGUUUGAGGGGGAAAAUACUGCCUCUGCCUGCCAGCUUGCCACCUCUCUGACACUUCUUUCCCACUUGGCUCCCAGACUUGCAGAUCUAGCCCCAGCAGAAGCAUGUUUCUCUCUCCCUCAAGCCUUUUUUCCUUGAGAGAGAGGGAAAGCUUCUGGCACUUGCAUUCACAGGCUGCUCGCAGAGAAAAAUUCUGGCCUGAAAUGAGUCUACCUGUUAUGCCUGAAGAGAGUAUAUAACUGAUUGUAUUGAACAGCUAGUGACUUUGUU
ensembl:lncRNA